rnacentral:misc_RNA from 1 species
GAAAAUUCAACAGAGAGACGAUUCAAUUUGCAGAGAUGAACGGCGCUAUGAAUAUGCACGGAGAUAUGGCGCCGCCGGUACCACAUGCCGCCGUGAACAACCACAACAUGAUGAUGCACAUGACGUUUUUCUGGGGAAAAAACGCUGAAAUUCUCUUCUCCGGUUGGCCGGGAUACGACAACAUCGGUAUGUACGUUUUCGCACUUAUCGUCGUUUUUCUACUUGCUUUCUCUGUCGAGUUGCUAUCGCACUCAAAUUACAUCAAAGAGAGUGCAAAUCAUGUGACGGCCGGGUUGAUUCAAACGGCGUUGUACGGAGUUAGAAUUGGUUUGGCUUAUCUGGUUAUGCUUUCUGUUAUGUCCUUCAAUGGCGGAAUUUUUCUGGCGGCGAUUUCCGGUCAUACGUUAGGGUUUUUGGUUUUCGGGAGUAGAGUUUUUAAGAAAUCGCCGUUGACGGCUUAUGCUAAAGCCUCCGAUCUUCCUUCUAUGCCUUGUAAUUGUUAAUGAAAAUUGAAAGCUUUAAAAUCGAAUUGUAAUCGAUAAUUCA